rnacentral:rRNA from 5 species
UAGGUCGGGAACUCAAAGGAGACUGCCAGUGAUAAACUGGAGGAAGGUGGGGAUGACGUCAAGUCAUCAUGGCCCUUACGACCAGGGCUACACACGUGCUACAAUGGCGCAUACAAAGAGAAGCGACCUCGCGAGAGCAAGCGGACCUCAUAAAGUGCGUCGUAGUCCGGAUUGGAGUCUGCAACUCGACUCCAUGAAGUCGGAAUCGCUAGUAAUCGUGGAUCAGAAUGCCACGGUGAAUACGUUCCCGGGCCUUGUACACACCGCCCGUCACACCAUGGGAGUGGGUUGCAAAAGAAGUAGGUAGCUUAACCUUCGGGAGGGCGCUUACCACUUUGUGAUUCAUGACUGGGGUGAAGUCGUAACAAGGUAACCGUAGGGGAACCUGC